rnacentral:rRNA from 1 species
CCUACGGGAGGCAGCAGUGGGGAAUCUUGCGCAAUGGGCGAAAGCCUGACGCAGCAACGCCGCGUGCGGGAAGAAGGCUCUCGGGUUGUAAACCGCUUUCAGCAGGAACGAAAAUGACGGUACUUGCAGAAGAAGGUGCGGCCAACUACGUGCCAGCAGCCGCGGUGACACGUAGGCACCAAGCGUUGUCCGGAUUUAUUGGGCGUAAAGAGCUCGUAGGCGGUUCGGUAAGUCAGGUGUGAAAACUUUGGGCUCAACCCAAAGCCUGCAUCUGAUACUGCUGUGACUAGAGUUCGGUAGGGGAGCGGGGAAUUCCUAGUGUAGCGGUGAAAUGCGCAGAUAUUAGGAGGAACACCGGUGGCGAAGGCGCCGCUCUGGGCCGAAACUGACGCUGAGGAGCGAAAGCGUGGGUAGCAAACAGGAUUAGAUACCCUGGUAGUCCACGCCGUAAACGUUGGGCACUAGGUGUGGGUUUCAACCAACGAAAUCCGCGCCGUCGCUAACGCAUUAAGUGCCCCGCCUGGGGAGUACGGCCGCAAGGUUAAACUCAAAUGAAUUGACGG